ensembl:lncRNA
AGAAGAACCCCCCCCCCCCCCCCCCCCCCCAAACACACACACCCAAACCCGAAAACACACAAACGCAUACAUAUACACACACCCCUCCACGUCCCUCUUCAACAAAUCCCACUCAAAAUAUGGGUUUCUUUUUUGUAUUUUUUAACUUAAAGUAGGUCCAACAUUCCUGUGCGUUUAUAUAAAAAAAAAAAACAUCCAGCAUUUUUAGGUGUAGCCCAUUAACUCGUACAGUAACUUCUUUUCAGCUAUUUCUGAUAUUAAUACUGCUUCCUAAAAGAAAAGUUAAACAUCUUUAUUUUUGGAUGAGGUUCUGCGUUGUGUACAUGUUUGUCUUGAGAGUAAAUUGAUGUGUGUGUGUGUGUGUGUGUGCGCUAUGGUCAUCUUUAUUGAUGUCACUCACAGCUGAGUUGUAACCUUUGUAAUACUCGGCGCAUCGCACAGAAUGUAAGCUACAGUUUUGUUUUGAUAUUUUGAUCAUUUUGUGAAAUAUUUUAUGUUUUUUGUUUUUUAAAUCAAUGUGGGAAUCCUCAAAUGCUUUCAGUUUGGAGGUGUUGGAGUGCGGGGGAGGGGUGCACAUCUUUGGGACUCCUACAUGUCCUGUUCUCUACACUUGUUGUCCUGUCACGAUGUAGAUUGACAUUGUCCAAUUGUAAAAUUAAUAAAAAUGCCAUUUUUUUUUACCAAACGAUUAAUGCUCAUUAAUACAUUUGUCUGAAUUUGUGUAUACAUUUGGUUCUGUCACAAUUUGCACGAAAAGACCUCCAAUUGUCCACUAAGGGAGCCAAACGGCAGGUUGUUUGCUCCGCAAUACAUAAAGCAUGCAAACCUUGGAGAAUUGUUUGUUUGUGCCAGAUAUGAAAGUCUAUGAUAGCUAAUUAAGCUUUGUCUAUAGUCAGCACAAUGUGUUGCUAAGAUAAGAAAAUUCUGUGGAUGGAAAUGAGAGGUCGAAGGAGGAUUGCUUUUUUUACAACGGUGAUCGCAACACAGCAUCCAGCCGGCAGUUGAUAAUGUCCUACCGUGGAGGGAUGGAUGGGGUUCUAUCUUGCUAUGACUAGCCGCACUUGCAUCCAUGGUCCAACCUUGUGGGAGGGAAUCCGAAGUUGGUUGGUUCGACUGAGUGACGAUAACCAAUGUGAAGCUCUGAUUGGUCGAAAAGGCAAAAACCAGGUAGUGGAAUAAAGCGACAAACUCACGAGUGCCCUGCAGUAUCUGGCAUGAACUAUUCUACGCGUUCGUGCAGCAAUGUGAGUUUAUUCAGUGCAUACCAAUCCACUUUAAAUAACAAUUUACCCAACUGAGCUUGAACAGGGAAUACAUAAAUCGACUAUUGCCAAACGUAGAUAGGAAAUACAGUGAUAACUGUCGCUGUCACGGGACACUGUGCGUCCAGAUCCUUAAUUCAGUGGCAAGUUGCAGUGUAGGUUUACAUUUUAAUUUUUAAUGCGCUAACUUUAAGGAAUGAAUGAGCAAAUCAUACUGGAUGAUUGACCGGUGUCAUAAGCCGUCAAAGUUGACUUCAGUGUGUUGGCAUUGAGGGUUAGGAUAUUAUUUUUCAAAAAUAAAUUAUAUCGUUUUAGUAUGAUUGAUUUUAUAUUACAUAAUGUUACAUAAUGUCAGUUCGAGUUCCGCUCAAUGCGUUUAUUAUAAAUGCAGUGAUCGUACAUAUCCCCCUGCUUGAACGACCUCAUUGAACCAUGAUUCCUCCCAUAUCUGCAGAUAGUGGACUUUGCCUGCAACGUAGCCUUAUGUUUUAGUAUUGUAGGACAGUUCGUUUGGAGUAGGCUACAUGAUAAUGUUAACUAACGAAAUGAGCUGGCUGUUAUUGCAUACCGCCAACAUACUUGAUACGCCAAUGUGCUAUUGUACCAGUUACCCUUUUUUCAAAUUCGUCUUGGCAGCAAUGUUGUCGUAUGAUAUUUCAAUUGUCCAAUUAAACAACUCAAGGCAACAACAAUAAGACGACAAUUUUAUUCUACAUACAAAUAUAUCGACCAGGUCUACGGCAGAUGUUCAUAAUCAUGUACUAUGUAAAAACCAAGACCUUCCAUUUCCUCUUCUUAACGAAGUCGAUCUUGGCAAUCCACACUACUGUUGGAGUAUGGUGAUGCUGGAAUUAUAGGAUCUGGACUUACCCAGUUAAUGUUACCAAAGCCAAGUCUAAUUAUGAUGCCUUGGUAUAACAUGAAUACAGUGGUAGAGCCCUGGCUCGACCCAGGCCAAGGGGUUGUAGUGUGUAGCAUGACAAAAUAAAUGUUUUCCUUGGCCAGGGCAAAGGCCUGAAACACUGGUCCCAAUAAUAAUUCCACUAAAGCCAGCAGGAGAAAUGGGUCAGAGUGUGGUUUAUAUUCAGCUGGCAACUCUGGGUCUUUCCUCAUGGUAUAGCUGGCAAGUAUGGAGCAAGUUCAGGGAUAGGGUAUAAAUGUUCGGCCUCUCAUUAUUUCCUUAUCAACAAUAUUAAAAUAAGAAGUACUCAAUCUAUAACUAGGCUACUUCAUGGGGCAUAAAUAAUUUAAAUAAGUUGAAUAUAAAGCUUUGCAAUGGUUAUUCCCAUUUAUGGGAAUUUUUUUUGAAGUGAAACAAGAUUGAAAUU